rnacentral:rRNA from 1 species
UACGUAGGGUGCGAGCGUUGUCCGGAAUUAUUGGGCGUAAAGAGCUCGUAGGCGGUGUGUCACGUCGUUCGUGAAAACCUGCAGCUUAACUGUGGGCGUGCGGUCGAUACGGGCAUCACUGGAGUUCGGCAGGGGAGACUGGAAUUCCCGGUGUAGAGGUGAAAUUCGUAGAUAUCGGGAGGAACACCAGUGGCGAAGGCGGCGACCUGGACGGACACUGACGCUGAGACGCGAAAGCGUGGGGAGCAAACAGG